GGGAGAGAGGGGCGGGCACUGGCUCCGGACCCGAAACUCCGCUCUCAGCAAAAAGCGGCUCCCGGGAACUGGAAGCCUGGCGAGCCAGCAAGUCGGAGGAAAGGGUGAAGAAGAGCAAACCUGCUCCCCGAACGACGCUUCCUUGGAAAUGAUAUGCAUGUACAAACACGUGCACACACAUGCGUGCACACCCAUAAGCAAACAUACAUACUUCCCAUUGGCCAGAACUUAAUCACAUGGGCACACCCAAGAGCAAAGAAGGCUGGGAAAUGUAGCCUGUGCCAAGUGACCACACACCCAGCUACAAACGGUCACCAGUUUCAAGAUUUGUACAUCCUGGUGUCACGGUGAAAAGCCUAUUGGUGGCAAGCACAUAAGGCACGUGGGAUGGCCAGGGGCCUCCAGCACAGGAAGGCCCCGAGUGAAAGCCUAGCAGAGUUAAGCGACUGUACGACAUGCUGAAAGGGAUCAGUGAUUUCUCCUGCAGCCAGUUCCAACCUGCUGAAAGGAACACUGAGAAAAUAUAUGGACUCAGUAAACCUGAGCUGCCUCCAAUGGCCUCACUCACUCCAACCCUCAACUUUGCAAUGCUGGAAUGCUGAGAUUAUCGUCCACAAGGAGCAGAAGCUUUCAUAGAGGAACCCAUCGACGUGGCUCCUGCCAAAGUCCUCAACAGGGCUUCGAAACACAGCAAGCAUAAUUUUUUAAAUGUUUUUAUAUCAAUGAAAAUUUUAAAAUUAUAAAAUAAUCUGCCAUAGAGGACACACAGACCGUCUACAUGGCAUCCGUUUCGCUACAUCUUCCUUCCCAAGGCCCCAACUUUGUCCAGGUGUCCACCCCACUCCACAAGCCGGGGAAGCUGGCCCCUGCCUGGCCAGCAGGUGGACCUGAUUCUAACACAUCCCC